GUCCACGCCGUAAACGAUGAGUGCUAGGUGCUGUGGGUAUUGACCCCCGCGGUGCCGCAGCCAACGCGUUAAGCACUCCGCCUGGGGAGUACGGCCGCAAGGCUAAAACUCAAAGGAAUUGACGGGGGCCCGCACAAGCGGUGGAGCAUGUGGUUCAAUUCGACGCAACGCGCAGAACCUUACCUGGGUUAAAUCCACCAGAAUCUUCUAGAGAUAGAGGGGUGCCCUUCGGGGAACUGGUGAGAAGGUGCUGCAUGGCUGUCGU
rnacentral:rRNA from 1 species